UACGAAGGGUGCAAACGUUGCUCGGAAUCAUUGGGCGUAAAGCGCACGUAGGCGGCCUGGUAAGUCGGAUGUGAAAUCCCACGGCUCAACCGUGGAAGUGCAUCCGAAACUGCUUGGCUCGAGUAUGGAAGAGGGUCGCAGAAUUCCCGGUGUAGAGGUGAAAUUCGUAGAUAUCGGGAGGAACACCAGUGGCGAAGGCGGCGACCUGGGCCAAUAUUGACGCUGAGGUGCGAAAGCGUGGGGAGCAAACAGG
rnacentral:rRNA from 1 species